ACUGUUGACUGUUAAGUGGCCUCACUGGUGGUAGAGAAUACCCACUAGAAUAUAUUUAUUUGUUGUUGUUAAUAUAUUUGUUGAUAUACCAUAUCUGCCAGAAUGGGGCAUAUGGAAUAGACCUAAAUCUCUAUCACUGAUUAUCAGAUAUUUGCAGUCAGAAGAUCAUUGAAGUCUGCAGUAUUGGAGGGACCAUCUUCUUCAUCUGAAUUUCUGAAAAUCAUUCCUAUAUUCCUUAUAUAGUUAAAGUUUUGAGAGACACUUCUAAAGUGAGGUGCGGUGCCCAUUACAUCAUUUUUUGAUUUUCACAACAUUUUUAGUCUAUUUCUAUUCACAUUUGUAAAUCUUGCCAGGGUUUCUUAUAAAAAUGCGCACAGUUUGAGAUAUUUGGAGCUAGCACAGAAACAGACAUAUUACAAGCUCAAAAGUACUGUUAACAGAGGCCCUCUCUCUAACUAUUAUAAAUAAUAAUAAUCACAGAAAAACUCAAAAAUAUAUCAUUCAGCCAACUUCCUUUCUGAAUGCAGAGGGUCAGGUCUAGGGUACCAUAGGGAGAAUAACACACAUUGGAAAAGGUGGGGCAUGGGGAAAGGAGAGGCCUUUGGAGUCACAGCUCCACACUUUUUUCUACUGGUAACCCUAAUACACUGUACAAAGGGUGGCACCCCUAAUUACUGCAACUGCCAACUGUCCUACAUCUUAAGGCUGAACUGGCGCUCACAGCUCAGUGGCAAAGUGUGCAGAAACAUGGGUGAUAAAAUGACAGAGGUUAAAAAUUCAAUUUUCCACAUUUAUGUCAGCAGGUUUCACUUUCACUAAGAAUGCCUCAUUUGUAUUUUCUUUUUAAAGCCAUUAUCUGUCCCUUGAGAGUCUUUGUAAAGGUCCAAAUUUCAAAUAAACAGAACACUCUAAGACAGGGGCUGUCCCAGUGACAUGUCUGGAAGGCCAAAGCACAGGCUGAGGCAGGCAGCUGAAGAGACAAAUCCAGUGGUCACAGUCCCAAGGAAGACAGAGCUGUUAUACCAUAGCUGGCCACAAGGAGGAACCAGCAAACCCCAAGGUUCAGUAGAUCA